UACGGAGGGUGCAAACGUUGCUCGGAAUCAUGGGGCGUAAAGCGCACGUAGGCGGCCCAGCAAGUCGGGUGUGAAAGCCCUCGGCUUAACCGAGGAAGUGCAUUCGAAACUACUGAGCUUGAAUACUGGAGAGGAUCGCGGAAUUCCCGGUGUAGAGGUGAAAUUCGUAGAUAUCGGGAGGAACACCAGUGGCGAAGGCGGCGAUCUGGACAGAUAUUGACGCUGAGGUGCGAAAGCGUGGGGAGCAAACAGG
rnacentral:rRNA from 1 species